rnacentral:rRNA from 1 species
GAUGAACGCUGGCGGCGUGCCUAAUACAUGCAAGUCGAGCGAACAGAUAAGGAGCUUGCUCCUUUGACGUUAGCGGCGGACGGGUGAGUAACACGUGGAUAACCUACCUAUAAGACUGGGAUAACUUCGGGAAACCGGAGCUAAUACCGGAUAACAUAUUGAACCGCAUGGUUCAAUAGUGAAAGGCAGCUUUGCUGUCACUUAUAGAUGGAUCCGCGCCGUAUUAGUUAGUUGGUAAGGUAACGGCUUACCAAGGCAACGAUACGUAGCCGACCUGAGAGGGUGAUCGGCCACACUGGAACUGAGACACGGUCCAGACUCCUACGGGAGGCAGCAGUGGGGAAUCUUCCGCAAUGGGCGAAAGCCUGACGGAGCAACGCCGCGUGAGUGAUGAAGGUCUUCGGAUCGUAAAACUCUGUUAUCAGGGAAGAACAAAUGUGUAAGUAACUGUGCACAUCUUGACGGUACCUGAUCAGAAAGCCACGGCUAACUACGUG